AUUGAACGCUGGCGGCAGGCCUAACACAUGCAAGUCGAACGAGUGGCGGACGGGUGAGUAAUGUCUGGGAAACUGCCCGAUGGAGGGGGAUAACUACUGGAAACGGUAGCUAAUACCGCAUACCAUCGGAUGAGCCCAGAUGGGAUUAGCUAGUAGGUGGGGUAACGGCUCACCUAGGCGACGAUCCCUAGCUGGCCUGGGAGGAUGACCAGCCACACUGGAACUGAGACACGGCCCAGACUCCGACUGGAGGCAGCAGUGGGGAAUAUUGCACAAUGGGCGCAAGCCUGAUUCAGCCAUGCCGCGUGUAUGAAGAAGGCCUUCGGGUUGGAAAGUACUUGCAGCGAGGAGGCGUUACUCGCAGAAGAAGCCCCGGCUAACUCCGUGCCAGCAGCCGCGGUAAUAC
rnacentral:rRNA from 1 species